UGAUGAGAAACUUCUAGUCUCCUGAACUAAACUGAAGAAGAAAAUUUUCGCUCCUAUCUGACA
rfam:Tetrahymena thermophila SB210 genomic scaffold scf_8254666, whole genome shotgun sequence.